rnacentral:rRNA from 1 species
GAUGAACGCUGGCGGCGUGCCUAAUACAUGCAAGUCGAGCGAACAGAUGAGGAGCUUGCUCCUCUGACGUUAGCGGCGGACGGGUGAGUAACACGUGGAUAACCUACCUAUAAGACUGGGAUAACUUCGGGAAACCGGAGCUAAUACCGGAUAAUAUAUUGAACCGCAUGGUUCAAUAGUGAAAGACGGUUUUGCUGUCACUUAUAGAUGGAUCCGCGCCGCAUUAGCUAGUUGGUAAGGUAACGGCUUACCAAGGCAACGGUGCGUACCCCACCGGCAAGAGUGAACGGCCACACUGGAACGGAGACACGGUGCGGACUCCUACGGGAGGCAGCAGUAGGGAAACUUCCGCAAGGGGCGAAAGCCUGACGGAGCAACGCCGCGUGAGUAAUGAAGAUCUUCGGAUCGUAAAACGCUGUUAUUAGAGAAGAACAAAUGAGUAAGUAACUAUGCACGUCUUGACGGUACCUAAUCAGAGAGCCACGGCUAACUACGUG